CCUACGUGAGUCAGCAGUGAGGAAUAUUGGUCAAUGGGCGCGAGCCUGAACCAGCCAAGUCGCGUGAGGGAAGACGGUCCUAUGGAUUGUAAACCUCUUUUGUCGGGGAGCAAAAGACGCCACGCGUUGCGUUCCGAGAGUACCCGACGAAAAAGCAUCGGCUAACUCCGUGCCAGCAGCCGCGGUAAUACGGAGGAUGCGAGCGUUAUCCGGAUUUAUUGGGUUUAAAGGGUGCGCAGGCGGAAGAUCAAGGCAGCGGUAAAAUUGAGAGGCUCAACCUCUUCGAGCCGUUGAAACGGGCAGUCUUGAGUGGGCGAGAAGUAUGCGGAAUGCGUGGUGUAGCGGUGAAAUGCAUAGAUAUCACGCAGAACUCCGAUUGCGAAGGCAGCAUACCGGCGCCCGACUGACGCUGAGGCACGAAAGCGUGGGUAUCGAACAGGAUUAGAUACCCCAGUAGUC
rnacentral:rRNA from 1 species